UACGUAGGGUGCGAGCGUUGUCCGGAAUUAUUGGGCGUAAAGGGCUCGUAGGCGGUUUGUCGCGUCGGGAGUGAAAACCUUGGGCUUAACUCAGGGCUUGCUUUCGAUACGGGCAGACUAGAGGUAUGCAGGGGAGAACGGAAUUCCUGGUGUAGCGGUGAAAUGCGCAGAUAUCAGGAGGAACACCGGUGGCGAAGGCGGUUCUCUGGCAUGAUCUGACGCUGAGGAGCGAAAGUGUGGGGAGCGAACAGG
rnacentral:rRNA from 1 species